GAUGAAGAACGUAGCGAAAUGCGAUAAGUAAUGUGAAUUGCAGAAUUCAGUGAAUCAUCGAAUCUUUGAACGCACAUUGCGCCCGCCAGUAUUCUGGCGGGCAUGCCUGUUCGAGCGUCAUCUCAACCAUCAAGCCCCAGGCUUGUGUUGGGGACCUGCGGCUGCCGCAGGCCCUGAAAACCAGUGGCGGGCUCGCUGUCACACCGGGCGUAGUAGAUUUUAUCUCGCUCAGGGCGUGCUGCGGGUUCCGGCCGUUAAAAAGCCUUUUUUACCCAAGGUUGACCUCGGAUCAGGUAGGAAGACCCGCUGAACUUAAGCAUAUCAAUAAGCGGAGGA
rnacentral:misc_RNA from 1 species